ACUCCUACGGGAGGCAGCAGUGGGGAAUAUUGGACAAUGGGCGCAAGCCUGAUCCAGCCAUGCCGCGUGAGUGAUGAAGGCCCUAGGGUUGUAAAGCUCUUUCACCGGUGAAGAUAAUGACGGUAACCGGAGAAGAAGCCCCGGCUAACUUCGUGCCAGCAGCCGCGGUAAUACGAAGGGGGCUAGCGUUGUUCGGAUUUACUGGGCGUAAAGCGCACGUAGGCGGACUAUUAAGUCAGGGGUGAAAUCCCGGGGCUCAACCCCGGAACUGCCUUUGAUACUGGUAGUCUUGAGUUCGAGAGAGGUGAGUGGAAUUCCGAGUGUAGAGGUGAGAUUCGUAGAUAUUCGGAGGAACACCAGUGGCGAAGGCGGCUCACUGGCUCGAUACUGACGCUGAGGUGCGAAAGCGUGGGGAGCAAACAGGAUUAGAUACCCCAGUAGUCCCAUG
rnacentral:rRNA from 1 species